CCUACGGGAGGCAGCAGUGGGGGAUAUUGCACAAUGGGGGGAACCCUGAUGCAGCGACGCCGCGUGAGGGAAGAAGGUUUUCGGAUUGUAAACCUCUGUCCUCAGGGACGAUGAUGACGGUACCUGAGGAGGAAGCCACGGCUAACUACGUGCCAGCAGCCGCGGUAAU
rnacentral:rRNA from 1 species